CCACAGGACUUUGCUCUUGACCAGAGUGCCACACUGAGAAGCUUUCAUCAUCCAAUCCUCCCCUCUGCUGGCAACGGCCAGGCAGCCUGCCCCACGGAGCCGUCUUUGCUUUCAACAUGAUAUUGCACCACCCAAAGCAUAAGACAUUCAGCAAUAAAGAACCAGCUACAGAAAAGAGAGGCAUAUGUUAAUAUAAAUGCCACUCUGAGAUCUAAACGUACCUUGCCACCAAUAACAAAUUAAGCUGCACGAUGGCCCUUUGAUGUUAACCACGGAAGACCGAGGAUUACGUACCCCCGGCCAG